GCCAUCUUCCGACCUCAGUCUUCUGAGUAAUUGGGACUACAGAUAUUGGUUGAGAAGCUACUAUGAGCCAGGCACAGUGCUUUGCUGGGGGUAUACAGAUGAUUGAAACACUGGUCUCUGCUUCAAAGAGCUAAUGGGAAAGGUAGACACAUAAGCAGAUAACUAUGACCCAAUGUGGAAGCAGAGUUCAAUGGUUUAGUAACCCACCCAGUAGUCAUUCGCAGCCCUUUCUGGCUUCCAGAGCCCUCUUCCCAUUAUAAAAGUGAGAAUGCUUUUCUGACUUUCCUUGUAACCAGGAAGAGGGCAAGUUACCAAAUUCUGGUCAGUCUACUGGAAGGAUUUUAGGAAAGAUUUUUCACCUGAAAACAGAGAGGAACUCCUAAUCCUGAGUCUCCUGUUAUGGGCUGAAUCAUGUUCUCUUAGAAUUUGUUUAUUCAAGUCCUAACUCCUGGGACCUCAGAAUGUGACUGUAUUUGGAGAUACGGUCUUUAAAGAGGUAAUUAGGUUAAAAUAAGGCCAUUAGGGUGGAACCUAAUCCAGUAUGACUGGUGUUCUUGUAGGAAGAGGGCAUUAGAACAUGGACAUUCAACAGAAGGAAGACAUGUGAGGACACAGCAAGAAGAGGCCAUCUAUAAGCCAAGGAAAGAGACGUCUGAAGGAGCCAAUCCUGCCAACACUUUGAUCUCGGACUUCUAACCUCCAGAACUGUGAGAAAGUAAAAUUUCUGUUGCUUAAGUCAUCCACUCUAUGGUACUUUGAUAUGGCAGCUUUAACAAAUUAAUACACCUUUCCUGGUUUUAAAUGUUGUCACGAGUUUGGAACAGCUGCAGCCAUCCUGCAGAAGGGCCAAGAGAAUUCCACAGAAGCUUAGAACCCUGAUAUCACGAAGGCAACCCUGGAAUCAUCUACUUUCAGACUUCUUGUGAAGAGACAAUAACUGACUAUUGUUUCAGUUGCUUUAGGUGUGGGAGUUCUGUUACUCACAACCACAAGCAUCCUAAUUGAUACAAGCAAGGAUAGAGACAUUGUGGUGUUGCGGGGACACCAAGAAGAGGCGUCUAGAUGACAAUUAAGCUUGGAUUUUUAAAGAUGUGCAGGAAUUAAAUAAAGGACUGGACAAAGGGCAUUUCAGGUGGAGAGGAUAAUAGCAAGAGCAGAGAAUACCAGAUAUGGAGAGAAACUUAGUUACAAGCCUUUGUAACCUUUCGGUGCUGUAGGAAACUCAAGUGUGGAGCUGAGAGUGGCAAGACACGAGGCUGUGGAGGUUGGCAGGAGUUGGAUAAUAGAGUGAGACCUCGGUUGCUGCUAAAGAGCUGUGACUUUUUCCCCACUAGCUUGAUCAGAAUUAUGUGAAUGGAAGAUAAAUUUAAGGGAUCAAAAUUGGAGGCAGGAUUCCAACCAGAAAUUUUAUGAGCAUUUAGGAGAGAGAGGAGGGAACAGAAUCAAGGCAGUAGAAUAGAGAGACAGAGGAAUGACUGAUAGUAAAAAAUUCACAAGGCAUAUUUUGAAGAUGUUGCAUAUCAACAUUAUUGUGCUGUAUGGCAAAUUAGGUAUAAAAGGUAAAGGACUAUAUAAUGUAGCUGAGAACAGAAAGUUGAACUUUAUCCUGAAUGCUAAGCUAUUUUUAUAUUUUUUAAUGAAAACUUAUUAAAAAAAUGUACUAUCCA